CACAUGCAAGUCGAACGGGGUAGCAAUACCCAGUGGCAGACGGGUGAGUAACACGUGGUCAACCUACCUCUGUGUGGGGGAUAACUAGCCGAAAGGUUAGCUAAUACCGCAUACGAUCGUUUUGGGGCAUCUCGAGACGAUGAAAGGAGCAAUCCGCACGGAGAGGGGACUGCGUCCCAUUAGUUAGUUGGUGGGGUAACGGCCUACCAAGACUCCGAUGGGUAGCUGGCUUGAGAGAGCGACCAGCCACACUGGAACUGAGACACGGUCCAGACUCCUACGGGAGGCAGCAGUGAGGAAUUUUCCGCAAUGGGCGAAAGCCUGACGGAGCGACGCCGCGUGUGGGAAGAAGGCCUUCGGGUCGUAAACCACUGUCGAAGGGGACGAUAUUGACCGUACCCUUGGAGGAA
rnacentral:rRNA from 1 species